CAGCAAAAUCCAUCUUAUUUGUUUUCAAGUAGCAGGGAAUUCAAGCCAACCCGUUGCAACUCUGCCAUCAAUCAUUAUGUUAAGCCCACCUAACGACCAGUAGCGGCUCCUGGGUUGACAAAUAGGCGGGGCAGAGUCUGUUGAUCAAGUUUAGAAAAAAAAUUGGCAUAGUUCCAAGUCACCGGCAGCUGGACGCACAAGGGCGGUCCACGGAGAUUUUGUUCAUUUUUACGACUCUUUCUUUCUAUGGCUAGGCUAUGAGCGAAAUCUGGGGAAUGGAAUUCCAUAAUGUUACCACUUGCGGUCAAAAUACCGGUUUUGUUCAUGCAUUAUUAACCUAUGUUAGUGUAACGGAGUAAAAAGAGUUGCUAGUUAAAUUAUCUUAAAAUUGAUGCAAUUACGCCAUCUAGAGGCAGGUUGAUUUAGUGUGACAGUGGGAUUCGCGUUGCAUUUACCCAGACUGGAGAUUACGAGAUACUGGAUUGUUGUCCCGAGAUCUAUUUGCUGAACCCACAAUUCCACACUGUCAUACUUUGUUCCAGCAAUAAAGAAACCUGAUCCAAGUGGUUGUCCGUGGUGAUG